UACGGAGGGUGCAAGCGUUAAUCGGAAUUACUGGGCGUAAAGGGCGCGUAGGCGGCCCGUUAAGUCAGAUGUGAAAGCCCCGGGCUCAACCUGGGAACUGCAUCUGAUACUGGCGAGCUUGAGUGCAGUAGAGGGAGGUGGAAUUUCCGGUGUAGCGGUGAAAUGCGUAGAGAUCGGAAGGAACACCAGUGGCGAAGGCGGCCUCCUGGACUGACACUGACGCUGAGGCGCGAAAGCGUGGGUAGCAAACCGG
rnacentral:misc_RNA from 1 species